GACGAACGCUGGCGGCGUGCCUAAUACAUGCAAGUUGAGCGAUGAAGAUUGGUGCUUGCACCAAUUUGAAGAGCAGCGAACGGGUGAGUAACGCGUGGGGAAUCUGCCUUUGAGCGGGGGACAACAUUUGGAAACGAAUGCUAAUACCGCAUAACAACUUUAAACAUAAGUUUUAAGUUUGAAAGAUGCAAUUGCAUCACUCAAAGAUGAUCCCGCGUUGUAUUAGCUAGUUGGUGAGGUAAAGGCUCACCAAGGCGAUGAUACAUAGCCGACCUGAGAGGGUGAUCGGCCACAUUGGGACUGAGACACGGCCCAAACUCCUACGGGAGGCAGCAGUAGGGAAUCUUCGGCAAUGGACGAAAGUCUGGCCGAGCAACGCCGCGUGAGUGAAGAAGGUUUUCGGAUCGUAAAACUCUGUUGGUAGAGAACAACGUUGGUGAGAGUGGAAAGCUCAUCAAGUGACGGUAACUACCCAGAAAGGGACGGCUAACUACGUG
rnacentral:rRNA from 1 species